rnacentral:rRNA from 1 species
GAUGAACGCUAGCGGGAGGCUUAACACAUGCAAGUCGAGGGGCAGCACGAGGUAGCAAUACUUUGGUGGCGACCGGCGCACGGGUGAGUAACACGUAUGCAACUUACCCAGUACUGGGGGACAACCCGGAGAAAUUCGGACUAAUACCCCAUAAAGAUAUGAAGGGGCAUCCUUUUAUAUUUAAAGCUACGGCGGUACUGGAUGGGCAUGCGGAACAUUAGCUAGUUGGUAGGGUAACGGCCUACCAAGGCUACGAUGUUUAGGGGACCUGAGAGGGUGAUCCCCCACACUGGUACUGAGACACGGACCAGACUCCUACGGGUGGCAG